rfam:Triticum aestivum genome assembly, contig: Triticum_aestivum_CS42_TGACv1_scaffold_363774_4DS
CAACUACUCCCUCUGUCCCAAAUUUCUUGUCUUAGAUUUGUCUAGAUACGGAUGUAUCUAAUACUAAAAUGUGACAUGAUACAUCCGUAUCUAGACAAAUCUAAGACAAGAAUUUUGGGACGGAGGGAGUACUUU